rnacentral:rRNA from 1 species
CACAGGUGCUGCAUGGCUGUCGUCAGCUCGUGUCGUGAGAUGUUGGGUUAAGUCCCGCAACGAGCGUAACCCUCAUCCUUAGUUGCCAGCGGGUAAUGCCGGGCACUUUAAGGAAACUGCCGGUGGUAAACUGGAGGAAGGUGGGGAUGAUGUCAAGUCAGCACGGCCCUUAUGGGGUGGGCUACACACGUGCUACAAUGGUGACUACAAUAGGUUGCAAUGUCGCAAGGCUGAGCUAAUCCGUAAAAGUCAUCUCAGUUCGGAUUGUCCUCUGCAACUCGAGGGCAUGAAGUCGGAAUCGCUAGUAAUCGUGGAUCAGCAUGCCACGGUGAAUACUUUCUCGGGUCUUGUACACACUGCCCGUCACGCCAUGGGAAU